GACCAGCCCAAGGAUCGGCCAGCUGCCGGA
rnacentral:sRNA from 1 species